GAUAAGAGCGGAGAUCCCAUUUAUACAGAAUGAUUCGGAGAGAGCGAUAGAUCACAGUUACGGUGGAGGUGAAGCGACCAAACCGAGAUAGACCCUCACAAGUUACCCAACACGGACUUCAAGUGGGACUGAAUCCAAGGCAUUACAAAAACAUUUUAGAAUAUCCUGCUGUAAUUCUCUCACGAAGCUUUGGCUGUGAAUUUCUGAAAAUCAUAAAGUCUGGUUGGCAGUUCCAUUGAUUGCUGUUUGCAGAGGUCAUUUUUGUGGAUUGUAGGAAGUGAAGGACUGAUUCCAGAUUGAGAAAACUGUCAACAAGUUACUAACAAGCAGUUAUCUAAAGCCAAUAAAAGCCGAUAUCUCGCCUCACGUCUCAGACAGUUAUUGAUGGUGCAUCAACAUCCAAUGUGCAAGAAAGAAAAAACAAAUGGUGCAAGAGAUUUAAAGACAAAACAAACAAUCUGCAGAUCAUGAGCCAGGUUUAGUGCUGAGGCAAAUGCUACAGCCCAGAAUCAGUUCAAUGCUAAGGUGAGUAAGGCCUCCUGGAGUAGGGAGCUGAACACUGGCUCAUUUUCCACCCUGUGCCAUAAUCUUUUAAAUCUGGUUUGGCAUUCAAAUCGGCCAAACAUCAGUUUGCUAUCUUGCUCUCUGGAGCAGGCCCUGCCAUUUCGGUCUAGCCCAAAGAUUCAGUCUGGCUAGUCUAUUCCCUUUUGGGCUUCUCAUGUUAUCCUGAGAAAGCUAGAUGUUAGUGUCCCUGUGCUAUAGCUGCUGCUGUUCAUUAAAAUUUAAUUUUGGUCCAGAACAUUGGCAAAUCUUCAGCUAAGCGGGUUAAAGAAAUGUGGCAUUAUUGCCUGGAUUUAAUUUUCUGCUCAUUUUAUGUGCGGGUGUGAGCUAGCUUCCAUCUGUACAAUUUAAUCAGGAAUGUAACGUGUCUUUGGAUGACGAAGUACUAUUAUAACAUGAAGCAGGUGCAGCCAAUUCUUAGCAGUUUAUUCAGAUUUGUUUUCAAUCCAGUUUGUGCAAAAGGUUCUUCAUUUUUUUUUCUUUUUUCCCUUGUGGAGCUGAAACUUGUGAGCUGUCAGAAUAGUUAGCACAAUCCUAAAAUCUUCACUUAAAAAAAAACAGCUCCAGAGGCUUGAAUUGUUUCUGUUGUUGGCCAGAUCAGCGGUGUCCUCUGGGAAUCAAUUCUUCUGCUCAAUGCCACUUAUUGCUUAUAACCCUAUUCUCCACCCAAAUACAAAGCUGAUCUUUGUCAAUACUUCACGAGAAACCCUUGCAUGUUAAAUAACAGGAUUGCGGCACAUGACAAGUGCCUCGGGGAUAAAGGAUUCCAAAGGUAUGCAAUUCUAUAACACAUUUUCUCAGUUCCAAGUGGCUGCCUUGAGACUAGUUUGGCUGUCUCAAACAUGAGACAAUGCCCCCUUUGUCAUCAAAGCUGUUGUUGUGUCUCAGCCGUGAGAUUAGAAAAUGGGGUGGUCCUGCUACCUUUGCCAACUCUUGCAUUAAAAUCCCCACGUGCUUGUGAAACUGACCUCUUGUAAAACAGGACUGAUGAGCCUAGUAAAGCUUGAGAUAACACCAUCGUUCAUGAAGUCAUUUAUUUAGUGCCUUACACCACCUUGCUGCUCUCACUUUAACGGGUGUUGAUACUGCAAGGGACCUGAUCUACAGUUUGAAUACAUUCCACAACUCUGCCUCUUCAGCUCUAGGGUGAAGAUUGCAAGCCACCUUUUGGUGUAUCUUCUUGGGUAAUCCCUUAUGUUGAAAUCCCACCCCUUUUUCUAAAUAACCCCACUCGAGAAAACAUCCUGUUGACAUCCACCUUCUUAAUCAGCCUUGAAACAAUGUUUCAAUCAGAACAUCUUUCUUCAAUGAGGAUGGGCUGGAUUGUCCGAAAUUUCACAUGCUUCAGUCUAUAAACAAACUCGGUGAACCCACUUUGCCUCUGAUGCAAGCAUGUUCUCAAAUACAGUAGUUGAAAUUGCAUAUGUAAAUGCAUAUCAAUGGUAAUGAAAGGCAGAGGGGCCCUUUGUUUGCUACGGAGUUCUUGCUGAAGAUAGCAAGGGUCAGGCAAAUUGGUUCCAUGAAUCCAGAAAGUUAUUGACUGUGUACACUUGUAAUUAGGGGUUAUUUCUCUGAGCAAUAUUGAUUAUGGGGCAAUAUUAGUUUGAAGUCUUAGAUGGGUAGCUAGAUAAGAUUUAUCAUUGGUUGAGCAAUGAAUGAAAAGAUUAAAUGACAAAAGAACUUUAUUAAAAAUAUAGUCAGAAAAUAUCAACAUUCAAGAUUAGAUUACAUUGCCUAGGUCAAUGACAGUGAAGGACAUAAAGGUACAGCAACCUUUAAUGAACAUUUGCAUGUUGGCAAUAUAUCUGCUGGAACCAGUUUCUCAGUCCAAUUUGUGUACUUAUGUAAAACGCCUACUUGUGUACUACCCUUCACACCAGUGCCUUUGACGUCCAUUGCAACUGUUAAUAAGGGAAUACCAUUUUCACAAAGAAGACCAAGAUCAAUUUGAUUUGGAUGGCAAAAGAAUAAAUAUUGCUCUGUGCACUAGUGAGAAGUUUUCUCCUCUGAAUCAUCACUUUAGACCUUUUGUUUUUAGCAAUUUGUCAGAAAGUUAACAAUUCUGGUGCAGCAGAACAUUGGGCUAUCAAGCUAAACUGAGAUUUGAUCCCCAUUCAUCAUCCAGGCACACUUAAAUAUUACAUUUUCAAAAAGUGUGAAAUAUUACAUUUUCAAAAAGGGCAUAUAUUACUCAGUAGUGUUCCUCGAUAGCUCCUUCACGAAUGUUUUACAUUUUCAUCCAUGGUUUUAAUUUGUUGGUAUCAUGCAGGGCAUAGUAGAUCCAGAAUUACAAACAUCCCUCUAACCUGUUACAAUCCAACAUUGGAUGCCACCUUGACAUAUUCCUUUAUCAUCACUAUCACCCUUGCCUGCGCCAUUAUGAGAAUAAGGUAACAAUCUGAGAAUGUCCACCACAGGUGACUUGUAGAGAGUGUAAGAAAUCAAGAAAGAAGUUCUUGAGAAGAAAGAAGGAGAGAACAUCCAUUCUUUCUACACAUUCAUUGUCAUCAAGAAAGUAUUGAUUCCCUCUUGCCAUCUAGAACAAAGAUCCAACCAGUUCUCAUCUACUGACUCUAUCAUCCUGGCUGAACUUGAUGCUCAACUUCUCUUUUCCUCCCACUUUUUACAAAUCAGAGGCAGAGCCAAGUGCCCUACAGCAGCCCCAUUUAUUCCCGUCCUUUUAUUGGACCAGUUCAUGUAUCUACUCUUGGAGCAGGUCAAAAGGUUGGCACAGUGAAAUUUCCAGGAAUGAUUGCCUGAAAGCCAGGUCAAUGCUGGUUUAGAGUUCCAGUGGAUGAAGAAGGUUAGUUUUCUGGGAAUAGAGAUGGAAUCAAAGUACUGCUGAUUGGUUUUCCCUGACACUGACAAAAUAAAGCAACAGAAUAUUUUUGGGUUAUUUUGGGUAUUUAAAGAUGUUAGGAAGUCAGGACUGCUGCAGAUUCCUAUCUGUUGGCUUUUAUUCAGUUUUUAUUAGAAAGAGUGAUUCCUAGUUUUCUCUCUGUUAGCCUAGAGGAAAAAAAACUUUAGAAACAUAGAAACAUAGAAAAUAGGUGCGGGAGUAGGCCAUUCGGUCCUUCGAGCCUGUACCGCCAUUCAGUAUGAUCAUGGCUGAUCAUCCAACUCAGAACCAUAUACCUGUUUUCUCUCCAUACCCCCUGAUCCCUUUAGCAACAAGGGCCUUAUCUAACUUCCUCUUAAAUAUAGCCAAUGAACCAGCCUCAACUAUUUCCUGUGGCAGAGAAUUUCACAGAUUCACCACUCUCUGUGUGAAGAAGUUUUUCCUCAUCUUGGUCCUAAAAGUCUUCCCCUUUAUCCUUAAACUGUGACCCCUCAUUCUGGACUUUCCCAACAUCGGGAACAAUCUUCCUGCAUCUAGCCUGUCCAAUCCCUUUAGAAUUUUAUACGUUUCAAGUUUGAGAUCAACUUUGCAGAUCUCAGGCCCUGAAAUACAAGCCAGUACAAUGCAGGCCAAUAAUACAUGCAAAUUAGGCCCUGGGUCUUUCCAGCAAGCGCUCCGUAGGUCAGCAGCAAUCACGGGUUCAUGGCCUUUUGCUGUAACCCAUUCAAUUCAAGUUUUGACCUUUUGUGCAUUCAGGAUGUUCUUUUGCACACCACUGUUAUUUGAGUUACUGUUCAAAGUAUAUUUAUUAUCAACGUAGGUAUAAGUUAUGCAACCUUGUGAUUUGUCUGCUUACAGACAGGCACAAAACAAGAAACGUGGAAGAACCCAAUUUAAAAUAAAAUCAACGCCCAAUGUGAGGUGAGAGAGGGGGACGAGACAAGCAAACAAUAAAACAAUUAUCAGCAUUCAGAAUGAAAUUGAGUCCAUAAACCCAGAGCAGUCGGAGCAGUCUAUAGUCUCGGUCUCGGUUCAUCGCACAGAGGGACAAAUUGCCAUGAAGCUCGCAGCCGCUAAGCCCAGAGCAGCCAGAGUCAGCGCUGAUGAGAGUGGAGUAAAAACUUUGCGGAGCAGAAUCUGCUAGACCCUCACCUCCAGUCCUGACAUCCCGCAUUUUCAGUCCAUGUGGCCCGGUGUGAAAUUGUCCACGUACCAGGUCAUCCCCUGCACACAGACCCAGGCCCUGCCACAGGGAUAUGCUCUGUGACACUUCCUGUACUACUCGAACCUCUUCAUUAACAAGGGAUUUAUAGCCACAGAAGUGCUGCUCACUGGAUGUAUUUUUUUGUUUUUCACACCAUCUCUGCAUUCUCUAGAUGCUGUUGGUACAUGGAGCUUAGAAAAAUAGAGGGCUAUGGGUAGCCCUAGGUAAUUUCUAAGGACAGGACAUGUUUGGCAUAGUUUUUUGGGCCAAAGGGCCUGUAUUGUGCUGUAGGGUUUCUAUGUUUCUAAAUUCCAGGAAAGCAGCAGUUUUUCAGAAACUCAAACCACCAACAAUCAUUCCACAGUCAAAGUCACUUAGAACAUAUUUCUUGCUCAUUCUGCUGUUUGGUUUGAACAACAGCUGAGCCUUUUGAUGGUGUCUGCAUGCUUCUAUACAUUACGAUGCUCUCACCUGAUUGGCUGUUCAGAUAUUUGCAUUAGCAAGCAUGUGUACCUAAUAAAGUGGCCUCUGAGUGUUUAUCAACUCUCCAGAAAAGGGGAUUUGAAGAUCUUGUGCACUUAUUAAAGGAUGGUCUAGAAAGAAAAAGUAGUCAUUAGAUAGAUGGUCAGAAAAGGUAGUGUUUAGCAGUGAGGGGGAAUCUUUGACUAGAGAAUUGAGUGAUAACUAAUAACUAUCUUGAUGGAUUGAGCAAAGAGCUGAUGAGCUCUCCUGUCUGCAUUUAUACCUUUGUCGAUUGUAUUCUGCAGUUGUCCCUUUUUAAAACAAAAUAAAGCAACACUGGUUGGAUGGCACAAAUGCGGCUUUCCCUCGUGAAGAUGUUUAAAGGUGUAAAGAGGGUUGGUGAGAUUGCUCGCAAGUAUGUGAUUGGGAAAUCAGUGUGGCUGGAGAAAAAGGCCAGUGAGGUCACAUGAAUGCCAGAAUGAAUGAUGAGAGAGGCAUCGAUUACUGCUAGUGAUUUGUGCAAACAAGAUUCAAGCCUAUAAUGAAGAGGAGAGAAGACUGAGUAAUAUAGGUUAGGUGUGAACUGGAACAAAUCAUCUAGAAACAUGGAUAUAAAAUUUUGAACUGGCAAGGCAAGUUCUUCACUAAAUUUGUUUAUCAAUAAUUACUAAUGCAAGUGAAUUUUCAGUGCAAUUAAAUUACAACAUUUAAAAGUUAUAACCGAAGCAUUAAGCUAUCCUUAUUUAGCUAUCUACAGCACUGGAAUGCAAUUCUAGAUCGAAUGGAAUUUCCUCUGUGAAGAACAUUUUACAUAUGCUGAAUCUGUUAACCAGGUUUUUUUUUUAAAGUCCAGGUUUCGGGAAAGUGCAGUUAUUAUUCUGCUGAAAAGAGGUUUGCUGUUAUUGUUAAAUUGGAAUAGAUUUAUAAAAUAAAGGGAAGUUUACUGCCAUGAUAAGAGAUGGCUGCAGAGCGAAUGGAUGCCUUGGAUCUAAUCAUCUAAUAUUCCAUACCUUCCAGGACGACUUCUACAGAUUCAAAGUCAAAGUUAAUUUAUUUUCAAUGUACAUAUAUGUCACCAUAUACCACCUUGAGAUUCAUUAUCU